GGCCGACUAGCUCAGUUGGUUAGAGCGUCGUGCUAAUAGCUGGAACAACUUGCCGAACGCAAGUUGUUGCAGCCACGCGAAGGUCUUGGGUUCGAUCCCCACGUUGGCCA